GGAUGUGAGGGUGAUCUGACUGAGAUGUCUGUCACGCCAUUGAUUGCCAGGGUUGAUUCAGCUGAUCUGGCUGGCUGGGUGGUGUCCCCUUCCUCCCUCACUGCUCCAUGUACGUCCCUCCCGAAGCUGCGUGCUGUGCUCAGUUGAAGAGGAUGACCUUCCCCGAUAGAGGAGGGCCAUUCUUCGGUCAAGGGUAUACGAGUAGCUGUGCUCCCCUGCUAGAACCUCCAAACAAGCUCUCAAGUCACAGGAAGCUGGGGCUGGAGGGAGGCCCAGUGU
rnacentral:snRNA from 1 species